UUUGAAUAAAAAUCUUUCUAUUCCUAUUUAAUUCAAUCUGCCGUUGAGAAAUAUUAUGUACCUACUUAGUUGAUCCCGUUCGCCUCGUUGAUCUACGAUAGGAGCGCGAGCGUAACGAAAUAUUAUAUACGAGUCUGGGUACGGUAUUAUGUCUUAUCAGAGUGACCCGAGUCCGGUUAACCGCAGUCUACGUAUAAAAUAAGCAACACAUCUUUAAAGACCCAGUCAUUAAAUAUAUGUGCUUUGUUAUGUUACAUAUCUGAAUUGUGUUUAUAUAUUUGCAAAGAAAAAAUCUGUUGACGUGAAACGUUUACAGAACCUUGAAAAUGAAUAUAUCAUUUGUUUUUAUGCUUUGCUUCCUCGCUCUGGUGACUUUAAGCGAAGCUAAGCCAAGGGGUGGCAGAAUGGGACGGUAUCGGUUUCCCUUUAGCGCAGAAAGUAAAGAAAGUGAAGAAGACUCCAAAGAAGAUGCGCCAUGCGACGGCUGUACAAUAAAUAACAUUGGAAACGGCUAUAAAAACCAUAACGAAGUUCACAUAUUAUAUGAGAGAGGCUUUCCCAAGUAGAAGAGAAAUCUUUAAACACACUAAUUAUUUAAUUGGAAAAAAAGCUUACCUGCAUAAUUUAUUAAGCUUUCUUACAGUAUCUAGUGAGGAACAAUGGUCGUCCAGGACUUGUGGUGUUUCAUUAAUUGUGCUGGUGUGUGCAAAUUUUAUCUUCCUAUUUGCAUGUGUGUUUGGAUGUAAUGUAAAUAAAUAGAUAUAAUCUUAA